rnacentral:rRNA from 1 species
CCUACGGGAGGCAGCAGUAGGGAAUCUUCCACAAUGGGCGAAAGCCUGAUGGAGCAACGCCGCGUGAGUGAUGAAGGCCUUCGGGUUGUAAAACUCUGUCAUUCGGGACGAACCGGAGUCUGAGGAAAUGCAGACUCUCUGACGGUACCGGAGGAGGAAGCCCCGGCUAACUACGUGCCAGCAGCCGCGGUAAUACGUAGGGGGCAAGCGUUGUCCGGAUUCACUGGGCGUAAAGCGCGCGCAGGCGGUGAUGUAAGUCUGAGGUGAAAACCCGAAGCUCAACUUCGGGACUGCCUUGGAUACUGCGUCACUUGAGGAUAGGAGAGGCAAGGGGAAUUCCACGUGUAGCGGUGAAAUGCGUAGAGAUGUGGAGGAACACCUGUGGCGAAGGCGCCUUGCUGGCCUAUUUCUGACGCUGAGGCGCGAAAGCGUGGGGAGCAAACAGGAUUAGAUACCCUGGUAGUCCACGCUGUAAACGAUGAGUGCUAGGUGUAGGUGGGCUCAUACCCAUCUGUGCCGAAGCUAACGCAUUAAGCNCNCGCCGNGGGAGGUACGGUCGCGAGACGAGAACGUACGAAAGGAAGUUAGACGGACGUUGGAGACGNGCCGACGGACGACACGAGGGGAGGUUAGG